AGGUACCCUUACUAAAUGAACGUUUAGAUGGGUUUAAACUGAAACCAUUUAAGAGAGAGAGAGAGAGAGAGAGAGAGGGAGAGAAAGAAUUGUGGGCACGGGCAUCAUGGAGGCAGGGAGCAGGAGGAGCAGACCUAGAGCUGUAUUCAUGGCGUUUGGUACCAAAGGCGACGUUUAUCCCAUCGCUGCCAUUGCUGCAGCUUUUGCAACUGAUCAACAACAAUAUAAUGUCAUGCUAAUCACUCAUUCUGCUCACAAGAAUUUAAGUGCAGAGCUGGCAACAAAAAGUGUUUCCUAUUUCCCAAUUUCGACUCCACCUGUUCUUUCUGCUAGUCAGGAAAAUUCCUCAGGCUCUGGGGAUUUCCCAUUUUCUCUGCAAAAAAAGCUUAUUACAGUAAAGCAUAGGCAAGAAUGCUUGUCUGCAGUAGAAAGGAUCUUUAGUGAUGGACCAAAUAUGGAGGAUGAUUUUAUUUUGAUAAAUUUCUUUGCACUGGAAGGGUGGAAUCUUGCAGAACUGUUUCGGGUUCACUGUGUUGUUGCAGCACCUUAUGUUGUACCUUACAGUGCACCUUCAUCAUUUGAAUGUCAAUUCAGAAGUGAGUUUCCCCUAUUGUAUAAAUAUCUCCAAGAAGUUCCUAAUGGCAAGGUGUGCUGGAAAGACGUGAUACAUUGGAUGUGGCCACUUUUCACAGAAGAUUGGGCCUCAUGGAGAAGUGCUGCUUUGAAUCUCAGCCCUUGUCCAUUCACGGAUCCUGUAACAGGUCUUCCCAUGUGGCAUGACUGGCCUCAAUCCCCUCUGCUGCUGUAUGGAUUUAGUGGAGAAGUUGUGGAAUGCCCAGGUUAUUGGCCAUCAAACAUCCGAGUGUGUGGCUUUUGGUUUCUGCCCACAGAAUGGCAGUUUUCGUGUAACAACUGCAAGGAAAUUUCGGCUUUAUUGUCUUCAGGGCAUCUUAGAACAACAAAUGAAAUGUGUCCACAACAUGCUGACUUAGAAUUUUUUCUGAAGACUCCUGCCUCGGUUUUACCUAUAUUUUUAGGGCUAAGUUCUAUUGGGAGCAUGGGUUUUCUGAUGAAUCCUCGAGCAUUUCUUCGAGUAAUUGAAUUAGUCUUAGGGAUCACAAGUUAUAGAUUCAUCCUUUUCUCGGCUGGAUAUGAACCUUUGGAUGCUGCCAUCCAAGAAAUAGCUGCUGAGAUGGGAUCAUUCUCCAGUCAAGGGCUUGAUAGUAAGGACGGAAUACUCCUUUUCAGUGGACGUCUCUUUUGCUUUUCUGGUGCUGUACCAUACAACUGGCUGUUUCCAAGAUGUGCAUUAGCGAUUCAUCAUGGGGUGGAUCCACUGCAGCAGCACUACAUGCGGGAAUUCCACAGUUUCUGCAUUGCUCAAAACAUGGACAUUUCAAACCAAGGUAUUGUGCCCAUUCAUGCUAGAUCAAUUCUAUUGGGCAGAAAGGAUGUUCUGGCUUGGAGUUGCACCAGAGCCACUACAAAAGAGAUACUUGCUUCCAGAUGAAGAUGAUCCGGUGAGCAUUAGGCAAGCUGCAGAUGGGCUAUCAAAUGCUAUAAAUUCUGCCUUAUCUUCCAAAAUAAAAGAAUGUGCUUCAGAGAUUGCUCAGAGAAUUUCUUCGGAGGAUGGAGUCGGCAAAGCUGUGAGGUUCCUGAAGGAAGAAGUGAUCUCUCAUAGAAGUGAAGAUUGAAAUUCUCUAUCUUUGCAAUUUAUGUUACUUGGCCUCUUCAAAAGUGGCUGACACACGGCCCCUAGUUUGGUGCCAGAUGCUUAUUUCUGCCACUGCCCUCUGAACCAGGUUAUUGUUUAGUGGCCUCACAACUGUUCCUUGCAGAUGUUUUUCAUUGCGUCGAUGGAACUGUUGACAUGGUUGGCUGGUUUUUUAAGUACACCAUCAUAAUGUUUACGACAAUAUGGAUUUCUUUCUAUUUCGAUCUUGUAAUUCAUGAGGCCCUUUGAGUUUUG